rfam:Heterocephalus glaber contig85511, whole genome shotgun sequence.
GGGGAUAUAGCUCAGUGGCAACAGUGCCUGCCUGGCAAGCACAAGGCUCUGAGUUCAAUUCCCAGUACCA